ACGCUGGCGGCGUGCCUAACACAUGCAAGUCGAACGGAGUCGGCCCGCAAGGGACUGACUUAGUGGCGAACGGGUGAGUAACGCGUGAGCAACCUGCCUUUCAGUGGGGGACAACAUUUGGAAACGAAUGCUAAUACCGCAUAAGACCACAGUGUCGCAUGGCACAGGGGUCAAAGGAUUUAUCCGCUGAAAGAUGGCCUCGCGUCUGAUUAGCUAGUUGGUGAGGUAACGGCCCACCAAGGCGACGAUCAGUAGCCGGACUGAGAGGUUGAACGGCCACAUUGGGACUGAGAUACGGCCCAGACUCCUACGGGAGGCAGCAGUGGGGAAUAUUGCACAAUGGAGGAAACUCUGAUGCAGCGACGCCGCGUGAGUGAAGAAGUAAUUCGUUAUGUAAAGCUCUAUCAGCAGGGAAGAUAGUGACGGUACCUGACUAAGAAGCUCCGGCUAAAUACGUG
rnacentral:rRNA from 1 species